rnacentral:rRNA from 1 species
UACGGGGGGGGCAAGCGUUGUUCGGAACUACUGGGCGUAAAGGGCUCGUAGGUGGCCAACUAAGUCGGACGUGAAAUCCCUCAGCUUAACUGGGGAACUGCGUCCGAUACUGGAUGGCUUGAGUUUGGGAGAGGGAUGCGGAAUUCCAGGUGUAGCGGUGAAAUGCGUAGAUAUCUGGAGGAACACCGGUGGCGAAGGCGGCAUCCUGGACCAACACUGACACUGAGGAGCGAAAGCCAGGGGAGCAAACGGG